UACGUGUGAACAACAUCGUUGUACAGAAGCUACAUUACCCGGGCUGAGCGUGACAGCAGAACCGAACCAGACGAAACGAACACGGCUUGGAAAUGCUGUUUCCUGUUAUUAAUUAAUUAAUAUAAAACUCGGCCCGCUCCUAGGGCAUGAUCCUGGAUGCGAUAAAGCUUCGACGAGCUCCUGCGGUGACCCUUCUAGGAGCGUGCAAAAGGAUAGACCUGUCAGAGUGUGUUCCAAGUAUCAUUGUGCUAGGGUGUGAUUCCCAUGUGGUUGAAAGGGACUCUAUCGUGAUUUGAGAUCGUUGAUUUUCCUGACAAUUUAUUGUGUACAAUAGAACUAAUUGCGUCACCAAAAGCGAACGUCAAUGCAUGUUUGUGUGUUUGGUGAAAUCGGUAGCAAUGGUGCAACAACGUUUCUUGUUAGCUGAGAGACACGUUUGAAAUUGGUAUCGGCUCUAUUAUCGUCAGGUUUUACCUAUUAUCUUCCGGUGGGUUGAUGAAGUCAUGGAUAGCUAAUAUUUUGCAGAGAGAUACUCUGCAUUAUGAAGAACCAUCAUACAGAAAUAACCGAUUUUGGACAUCAAUUAACGAUAGCAUGGGACGCGCUAUUUGUAGGUAUCAGGCCGAUAAUCCAAUUUUAUUGAAAUGAAAUGAUUAUAAAAUAACUAGUUUUCUGCAUUUCUCAAGUUCUCAAGUUUCUCAUUAAUUUUUGCAUUCAUAUUACCAAAGCUUUGAAAUUUUGAAUUCUUCGAACGUUGUGUUAAAUCUUCCAUGUUUUACGAAAACAACACAAGUAAUUUUUGAUUCCGAUAUACAGGGUGUUACCGUGGAGUGAUACCCACAUUUGAGUGCCUCCCGAUGUAAACUCAGCACUACCCUGUUAACCAGCUGUGUUUGUUUUGAUUGCGACACAUGUUUGUAGUUCACUUGUGAGAGAUAAAGCCAGUGUUUCACUUAUUUCAGAGAAAAAUUACAAUGGACUCAAGUAGAGAACAAAUCAAGAUCUUGUACAUUACUGGAAUAAGUGACAACAGAAGAAACCUGUCGCAUUUGAAUUUUAGCGGAUUAUUUGUGUACGGGACCAUCGAACAAUUCGAGAAAACUCCCGACACAGAAACCGGGUAAAGAAACUGAGUGUGCGGAAUGCAGCGAUGCUCAAAGCAAUUAACGAACGUAUUCGGUGAAAUCGCAGACAGACGUCCAAGCUGAGUUCGAAACUUGUGUAAAGUUUUUUGUAGUAGCAAUCCGUAACCAGAUAGCGCUACCAGUAUCGCCAGCCUCGUGCACCAGCGAAAAAAAAUGUAUUGUAGCGAUAAGGUCACCAGGCGGCGCUAGUGUACAAGUGAUUUAUAACGCAAUUUACUUUGAAAAUUUACACGGAACUUUUGAUCAAUGUUGUUCUUGCUUGGACGUCUGUCUGUGGUGAAAUCUAGCCCGGUCGGUAGGAGAAAUGGUCAUAACACGAUGCAUAAAAUCAUCAAAUGGAUCUUGAAUACGGAGCACUCAAAAAACAGAAAAAUCACGGAUUAUCCCACAAAAUUAUUGUCGACAGUGUUACAAGACCUCAAUUGCUACUGAAGACGCACAUGGCUCACAACAUAAUUUUCAGAUGAAAAAAUUUUUACUUUGGAGGCUGUUUUGAAAAAGCAGAACGAUCGUGUACAUGGAGCAUGUUUUGCUUUCAACAGGAUUCAGCGUGAGCGCUAAGGCAUUGGUUGUUCAGAAGUUGUGCAAAAAAAAAAAUUACCGUGUUUUAUCAGUACCUCUGAAUGGCCCGCAUAUUUUACCGGUUCGAAUACAAUGGACUUCAUCAUUCGAGGAUACCGAGGAUAGGAACCGUGAAAAUCUGGGAUGAAGUGCAGUUUGAAGUCGUGCGUGCGGCUUGUGAUAAUUUAAAAAAGCGUUUGCGGACAGUAAUCAAAUACAAAGGCGAAAAAAUUGAACAAAACUAAUCCUUUUGUAACGUUACUACUCUAUCAUGUUAAUCAAAAAGAAUUAGAGAUGAAAUAUUAUUCUCUUUUAAUUUUAUGGCAAAAACGAAGUGUAUCACUUUGACGGUGACACCGGCGACAUUAUUGAUGGUUUUUAUUCAGUUUUUUUCAUUUUUCAUUUUUCACUCACAAAUAAUAAAUUUUAUUGUCUUGUUUCCUGCAAAAUUUCGUUUAAAAGGUUUCUAUUAGGAAAAUAAUGCUGUAAUUAGUCGAAAUUACUUUAAUUCACUUUGUUGGCUAACGGACCGUUCACCGGUCUAGGGCCGAACGAAUUAAUAUCUAGUUUCUUCUGUAUUGGGUUCUCAGGUAUCCUCGUAAACCAGCAUCUUCUUCCACCGCGCAUAUCCACCUCGUGCGAGGCCUACCACGGAGUCGACGGCCUCUUCCUGGUUCUCUACUGGAGAUAGUUUUGGCGGCUCUCUCGUUAGGCAUUCUGGCUACAUGACCAGCUCACUGAAGUCUGCCCCGCUGUAUUACCCUCACUAUAUCCGCAUGUUUGUAUACCUGGUACAACUCGUGAUUCAUGCGUCUGCGCCACACUCCAUCUUCCAAUUUACCACCAAGUAUCGAUCGCAGAACUUUACGCUCAAAGACUCUAAGCACUCAUCGAUCAGCUUCCUUCAGCCUCCAUGCUUCAUGUCCGUGAAGGGCCACCGAGAGUAUCAGCGUCCUAUACAGCGCUAGUUUUGUGCGAGUUUGCAAACUACGGGACCUUAGCUGGUUACGUAGUCUGUAGAACACCCUGUAUGCAGCUGCAACUCAUCGUUUCACUUCGCGGCUCAUAUCGUUGUCACAUAUCACAAGCGUACCAAGGUAAACGAAUUCAUCAGCCACUUCAAAUCGUUCCCCAUCUAUGUCCACCUCAGCACAAAAACCACGGGCACUCCCUGCCUUGCUACUUGUUUUGGCAAAGCUAAUGACAAGUCCCAAUCUCGCUACUUUCUUCCCAAAAGACACGAAGACCUCCUCCAUGGCCCACGGCCUGAUAUCGUCCACAAAACCAAACCAGUGAGAUUUCGUGAUGAUCGUACCAUUUCUUUGCACGUUUGCUCUUCGCAUUGCACCUUCAAGAGCUAUGUUGAACAGUAAGUUAGAGACCGCAUUCCGGUGGAACAGUAUACGGGAGAGCACUUUAUAUGCGGAGUUGAGCAACGUAACGCCUCGAUAGUUGCAACAAUCCAAUCGAUGACCCUUCUUAUAGAUAGGACAUAUGAUGCCUUCCAACCUGACGUUCGGCAUUUGUUCAUCCGCCCAGAUCCUAUGUGUUAUCUGGUGGAUCGCAUAGAACAGCCGCUCGCUUCCCGCUUUUAGAAGUUCGGCCGGGAAACCGUUCUUCCCAGCGGCUUUGCUUUUUUUCAGCUCACCGCCUUCUUCGUCUCUUCAUCUCCUCCUGUGUUGGUGGCUCCACAGCUUGUUCGUCACUCAUAAUCGUCAUCCUGUUCCUUCUCUGCUCAUCCUGCUCCUCACCAUUCAAUAGCGCCUGAAAAUGCUCCUUCCACCUGGCUGCAACCGUCGGUUUAUCAGUAAGCAGGUUCCCGUCCUCGUCAAUACACAUGACCGGCACAGGGAAAUUGCUGCUUCUGACUCUGUUGACUGUUCUAUAGAAGCUCCGCAUGUAGUUUCUAGCUUAGCUGUCCCCUGCGCUUGCGAGCUCCUGUCCAAUCCGCACGAGAGUCACAAAUGAAAGAAGGCUUUGGUCUCAAUAUUGUCCCCCAAACGUUUUUGAAAAAAUGGGGCAACAGUUUUUGUAAUAGAGUAACUAUUACUUUUUAUAGAAAAACUUGGGUGGAUUUUCUCACAAAAGUCACUAAAGUUUUCAUUUUGUCUCUGUGACAAUUGAAUUAGAAUUUACAAGUUUUUCUCUGAAAAAUCACAGACCAAAUUACUUUACUUUUGAAGCAAGGGUAUUUAUUUCAUUUAGUAGUCACGGUGAUAAUUUGAAAAACAAAAGACAUGUUGUCCAAAGAAAUAGUUUUUCCUGUUAGUCACUGUGAUUUUCGAGAGGAAAUAUACAACAACAGUUUUGUUUAAAAGAAGGUGUGACCUUUUGAAAAACUUAUAAGUUAUCAGCAUUGUCACAGUGAUUUUGGUAAUCAUCUCUUUUGGUUUGAACCGAAUAUCAGGAAAAGUAAACAUCAAGCUUUGAUCGACAAAUAUCACUGUUUGAUCACCGUGACUUUUAUCAGGAAAUAUAUGUCAAAUGUUGUUUUAGAAUAUGUGAUCUUUAAAAAAAUAUAUCUUAUUAACAUUGUCACAUGAAUUUAUGUAAUUAUCUCUUUUCGAUCAAAUAACGGAGAAAACAUUACUUCAAUAUCACAUAUUCCCUCCAUCCAACGUUCGAUUAGUAUUGGCUCACAAGAGUCUCCGUAUCAAUUAAUCUUUAUUCAAUAAGCUAUGAUCAUUAUGGAAAAAAAUGAAUCUCGUUUUUCAACGGUCACCAAAAAUAAUUGGUGACGAAUUCCUAUAGUUUUUUAAUUCAUCAAGAUGGAGGUGUUAAUUACUAAAAGCCGUAAAAAUAUAUAUAAUAAAAAUAGAGCAUAAUAUAAUUUAAACAUU